rnacentral:rRNA from 1 species
AUUGAACGCUGGCGGCAGGCUUAACACAUGCAAGUCGAGCGGAGAGAGGUAGCUUGCUACUGAUCUUAGCGGCGGACGGGUGAGUAAUGCUUAGGAAUCUGCCUAUUAGUGGGGGACAACAUUUCGAAAGGAAUGCUAAUACCGCAUACGUCCUACGGGAGAAAGCAGGGGAUCUUCGGACCUUGCGCUAAUAGAUGAGCCUAAGUCGGAUUAGCUAGUUGGUGGGGUAGAGGCCUACCAAGGCGACGAUCUGUAGCGGGUCUGAGAGGAUGAUCCGCCACACUGGGACUGAGACACGGCCCAGACUCCUACGGGAGGCAGCAGUGGGGAAUAUUGGACAAUGGGCGCAAGCCUGAUCCAGCCGUGCCGCGUGUGUGAAGAAGGCCUUAUGGUUGUAAAGCACUUUAAGCGAGGAGGAGGCUACUUUAGUUAAUACCUAGAGAUAGUGGACGUUACUCGCAGAAUAAGCACCGGCUAACUCUGUGCCAGCAGCCGCGGUAAGAC